rnacentral:rRNA from 1 species
CCUACGGGUGGCUGCAGUGGGGAAUAUUGGACAAUGGGGGCAACCCUGAUCCAGCCAUGCCGCGUGUGUGAAGAAGGCCUUUUGGUUGUAAAGCACUUUAAGCAGGGAGGAGAGGCUAAUGGUUAAUACCCAUUAGAUUAGACGUUACCUGCAGAAUAAGCACCGGCUAACUCUGUGCCAGCAGCCGCGGUAAUACAGAGGGUGCGAGCGUUAAUCGGAAUUACUGGGCGUAAAGCGAGUGUAGGUGGCUCAUUAAGUCACAUGUGAAAUCCCCGGGCUUAACCUGGGAACUGCAUGUGAUACUGGUGGUGCUAGAAUAUGUGAGAGGGAAGUAGAAUUCCAGGUGUAGCGGUGAAAUGCGUAGAGAUCUGGAGGAAUACCGAUGGCGAAGGCAGCUUCCUGGCAUAAUAUUGACACUGAGAUUCGAAAGCGUGGGUAGCAAACAGGAUUAGAUACCCCUUC